rnacentral:rRNA from 1 species
GACGGAGGAUGCAAGUGUUAUCCGGAAUCACUGGGCGUAAAGCGUCUGUAGGUGGUUCAAUAAGUCAACUGUUAAAUCUUGAGGCUCAACUUCAAAAUCGCAGUCGAAACUAUUAGACUAGAGUAUAGUAGGGGUAAAGGGAAUUUCCAGUGGAGCGGUGAAAUGCGUAGAGAUUGGAAAGAACACCAAUGGCGAAAGCACUUUACUGGGCUAUCACUGACACUGAAGAGGACGAAAGCAUAGGGGUAGUCAAAUGG